rnacentral:rRNA from 2 species
UUGAAGAGUUUGAUCAUGGCUCAGAUUGAACGCUGGCGGCAGGCCUAACACAUGCAAGUCGAGCGGUAGCACAGAGAGCUUGCUCUCGGGUGACGAGCGGCGGACGGGUGAGUAAUGUCUGGGAAACUGCCUGAUGGAGGGGGAUAACUACUGGAAACGGUAGCUAAUACCGCAUAACGUCGCAAGACCAAAGAGGGGGACCUUCGGGCCUCUUGCCAUCAGAUGUGCCCAGAUGGGAUUAGCUAGUAGGUGGGGUAACGGCUCACCUAGGCGACGAUCCCUAGCUGGUCUGAGAGGAUGACCAGCCACACUGGAACUGAGACACGGUCCAGACUCCUACGGGAGGCAGCAGUGGGGAAUAUUGCACAAUGGGCGCAAGCCUGAUGCAGCCAUGCCGCGUGUAUGAAGAAGGCCUUCGGGUUGUAAAGUACUUUCAGCGAGGAGGAAGGUGUUGAGGUUAAUAACCUCAGCAAUUGACGUUACUCGCAGAAGAAGCACCGGCUAACUCCGUGCCAGCAGCCGCGGUAAUACGGAGGGUGCAAGCGUUAAUCGGAAUUACUGGGCGUAAAGCGCACGCAGGCGGUCUGUCAAGUCGGAUGUGAAAUCCCCGGGCUCAACCUGGGAACUGCAUUCGAAACUGGCAGGCUAGAGUCUUGUAGAGGGGGGUAGAAUUCCAGGUGUAGCGGUGAAAUGCGUAGAGAUCUGGAGGAAUACCGGUGGCGAAGGCGGCCCCCUGGACAAAGACUGACGCUCAGGUGCGAAAGCGUGGGGAGCAAACAGGAUUAGAUACCCUGGUAGUCCACGCCGUAAACGAUGUCGACUUGGAGGUUGUGCCCUUGAGGCGUGGCUUCCGGAGCUAACGCGUUAAGUCGACCGCCUGGGGAGUACGGCCGCAAGGUUAAAACUCAAAUGAAUUGACGGGGGCCCGCACAAGCGGUGGAGCAUGUGGUUUAAUUCGAUGCAACGCGAAGAACCUUACCUACUCUUGACAUCCAGAGAACUUAGCAGAGAUGCUUUGGUGCCUUCGGGAACUCUGAGACAGGUGCUGCAUGGCUGUCGUCAGCUCGUGUUGUGAAAUGUUGGGUUAAGUCCCGCAACGAGCGCAACCCUUAUCCUUUGUUGCCAGCGGUUCGGCCGGGAACUCAAAGGAGACUGCCAGUGAUAAACUGGAGGAAGGUGGGGAUGACGUCAAGUCAUCAUGGCCCUUACGAGUAGGGCUACACACGUGCUACAAUGGCGCAUACAAAGAGAAGCGACCUCGCGAGAGCAAGCGGACCUCAUAAAGUGCGUCGUAGUCCGGAUUGGAGUCUGCAACUCGACUCCAUGAAGUCGGAAUCGCUAGUAAUCGUAGAUCAGAAUGCUACGGUGAAUACGUUCCCGGGCCUUGUACACACCGCCCGUCACACCAUGGGAGUGGGUUGCAAAAGAAGUAGGUAGCUUAACCUUCGGGAGGGCGCUUACCACUUUGUGAUUCAUGACUGGGGUGAAGUCGUAACAAGGUAACCGUAGGGGAACCUGCGGUUGGAUCACCUCCUU